UCCGGCUUAACGCCGGCGGUCUCUCUAGAGUGCUCACCCGAAAGUGUCGCAACUAAAGACAAGGGUUGCGCUCGUUGCGGGACUUAACCCAACAUCUCACGACACGAGCUGACGACAGCCAUGCACCACCUGUGCACGAGCCCCGAAGGGCUGCCGUGUUUCCACGACAUUCCCGUACAUGUCAAGGGUAGGUAAGGUUAUUCGCGUUGCAUCGAAUUAAUCCACAUCAUCCACCGCUUGUGCGGGUCCCCGUCAAUUCCUUUGAGUUUUAAUCUUGCGACCGUACUCCCCAGGCGGGGUGCUUAAAGCGUUAGCUGCGCCACCGAAGAGCAAGCUCUCCGACGGCUAGCACCCAUAGUUUACGGCGUGGACUAC
rnacentral:misc_RNA from 1 species